AACGAACGCUGGCGGCAUGCCUAACACAUGCAAGUCGAACGAGACCUUCGGGCCUAGUUGCGCACGUGUGCGUACCACGUGGGAACUUGCCCUUAGGUUAGCUAUAACUCCCCGAAAGAGGUGCUAAUACCGCAUAAUGUCUUCGCACCAAAGAUUUAUCGCGUUUGGGUGGGCCCGCGUUGGAUUCGCUAGUUGGUAGUGUAAAAGCAUAGCAUGGGGACGAUCCAUAGCUGGUCUGUGAGGAUGAUCAGCCAGGCUGGAGCUGAGACACGGACUAGACUGGGACGGGAGGGAGCAGUAGGGAAUAUUGGAGGAUGGGCGAAAGCGUGAUCAAGCAAUGCGGCGUGAGUGAUGAAGGCGGUAGGGUUGUAAAGUUCUUUGACACGGGGUGUUAGUGACGGUACCGGGAGAAGAAGCUCCGGCUAACUACGUG
rnacentral:rRNA from 1 species